CCCGGAGGCCGCGCCGCCAGGAGGCCGCGGACGCGUGCUCGCAUGCCUGUGGUAUUUGCUCAGAGGGGCAUGACCACUUCGGGCAAGCCUUUAAAUACUUGAUGCAAGGGGAUGUGUGCUUUACGGGAAACUGUCAGCGCUGCAGUCGGCAUCAGAGACGUGCUGCUAAAGAGAACACUACCAGCAUUUAGGAGAAGGGACUUGGAAUGAUGGACAGGACCGUACCCCUUCUCUCAUUAUCACAAGCCAAAGCAAAUGAUGUAUAUCUGUGAGGUCUAACAACGUCCCUAAGCCUUAUCCUUUUAGGAUCCCAGUCAUCCAGCGCACUGUAUUGUUGCAGCUAGGAGUUUAAGACAUAGAGUCAGACAGACAUGUGUUUGAAUUUCAGCUCCACCGCUGACUAGCUAAGCAAGCUUGAGCAAGUUACCAUUUCUUCUAAGUUCCUUCAGUUUUUUUUUUUUGAGAUGGAGUUUCACUCUGUCACCCAGGCUGGAGUGCAAUGGUGUGAUCUCGGCGCACUGCAACCUCCACCCCCUGGGUUCAAGCGAUUCUUCUGCCUCAGCCUCCCAAGUAGCUGGGAUUAUAGGCAUCUGCCACCACACCCUGCUAUUUUUUUGUAUUUUUAGUAGAGAUAGGAUUUCACCGUGUUAGCCAGGAUGGUCUCGAUCUCCUGACCUCGUGACCCGCCCUCCUCGGCCUCCCAAAAUGCUGGGAUUACAGGCAUGAGCCACCUCACCUUGUCCUCAUUCCUUCAUUUUCAAAAUGGGGCUAUGUUAUUUGCCACAGAGAGUUUCUGUGAUGAUUGUUAAAAUGCACAUAAAAUACCUACCACAUAAUUCAUUCUCAAAAAAUUCUAGAAAUAUUACGUAAUGACCCAGGAGACAGAAGAUCUGGCGUCACUUCCCAUCUGUGUGAGCCAGGACAAGUUAAUUUACCUGUCAGUGCCUCAGUUUCCUCAUCAAUAAAAUAUGGGUUAAAUGUCCACCUCGUUACGUAAACUAAAGACAAUGAGUAUAAAAACUAUGACAUACACUAAGAAGAUACUACAUGAUGGUGAUAGUUUUUGUGUUUACUUCCCAGACUCCAGUUUUAUCCCUGCGUCAGCUAUGUGAUCCUUCACAGGUCACUUAUUUUUCAAAGACCUCAGUUUAGUUUCCCCAUUAUAAAAUAAAAGUGGAGUUAGACAUCUAUUGUCCAUUCCAACUGUAUGAUUUUAUGAACUUUCUAUUUUUGUGAUUUUUCUGUAUUUCAAAAAUACCUACUAGAAUAGAGAACAAGGUUUCCAAAGGCCUCCCCUCCCCCGGGAUACAGAAGCCUCUGUUCCUUGAUUACCCUUUUGCUGACCUACUCUUAGCCCAUAAACCCAUCGAGCUCACACUGACUUAGACAAAGAGCAGAGACCCCCAGGAAGAAGAAAGUGUCCCUGCAUUUGGUGAGCCUACAGUGUAGUUGAAAACAAAGGAUGGAUAGAUAUGCAAGAAUAAGACUGA
rnacentral:lncRNA from 10 species